rnacentral:rRNA from 1 species
GCCUACAGCCAUGCCACCCUGAACGUGCCGGAUCCCGUCUGAUCUCGAGAGCUAAGCAGGGUUGGGCCUGGUGAGUACUUGGAUGGGAGACCACCUAGGAAGACCAGGUACUAUAGGCG